AAGAGCAUAAUUUAAAAGGAAAAAUAGGAAACUCCAAACUUCAAAUCCUCAGUUCAAGUCUGAGUGCUCUUG
rnacentral:tRNA from 1 species